rnacentral:piRNA from 1 species
UUCUCGCAGAGGGGGAUUUGGUAGUGUC